UAGAAAUGUCAAACUGGAAGGAAUCUCUCAGGUCAUCAAAAACAUCCCCUUCGUAUCACACUGCAUUUCCAUCUCCUGUGUUUUCCGAUUUUCUUCCUUUCUAGUAUAGCUGGUUUUGCUCAAUCCUUCACCAUUACAGUACAUGCACUUCUGCAUUUACACAUUCAUGCACUUGAACUCACACAACCUCAGUGCCCAGCGUUCAGAAGUCAGAAGGCUCUGAGUCUAAAUUCACUUGGCUGUAGUGAGAUCAGCCCAAAAGAAGCACAAGCAAAAGAUGAGCAGCUGAGUACCAAAGGAGAUCCCUGCAGCCUUUACAUGUAUAUAUGGAUUUGUCCUUUCCUGAUCACCUCCAAG
ensembl:lncRNA